UGUGCUCAGGGCCAGCAGUGCACAGGACACUGGGCCAGAGGUCCUUCCCGCGUAGCCAUGUGAGGUCACAAAGGACUCAAAGCUUUAGAGGGAGGGGCAUGUGGUGCCCCUCAGAGUCACAGGGUGCAGUGAGGAGGUGCAGGUUAAGUUCAAGGGUGCAGGCUGAGCGAGGUCCUGAGGUUGCAGCUCGAGCACAGGGCGUGCUCAAAGGCUGCAGAUUACUCGUGGAAGGAGGACACCAUUCAGACAGAAGGUGCUACCAGGACAGGGGCAUGGCUUUGGAAAAUCACCCUUAACAGCAGGACCUUACAAGAUCAGCCAGAGCCAACUGACCUUCUGGCCCGUGCAGUAUUGCUUACCGUGCAGAGCCUGGUUUCAUGUCCUUGGGCUCCAUCCACCCCUCAGAGACUUCUCCAGAUUUACGUUCUAGCUACCCUCACUAGAGGUACUGAGUUCACGUGUGGUCAGAGGUCUCUACGAAGCUACCCAAGGAUUGGAGUGGAGCCUAUCAGCGAGCUGUACAGUGAUGAAUGGUGCGGUUUGUUAGGUUUCUGUCUUCACGCUGAAGUGGACUCAGCUCCCCUCUUCUUUCUCUGCCCCGUUCUCUCCAAUCAUCGAACCACACAGGAAACCAGAUGCAGUGAGAGUGGAACUGAAGGUCGCUGAGUAGGAGUAAAAUGGGAGCAUCAGAAUCAUCUCCGAGUCAGAGCCAACCUCACCAGAGGUCCUGGAUUCUGGUUCUCAUGUUAGAAAUUGCCAGAAGGCCUCACCGAAGAGGUGCAUACUGUCCGUGAGAAGACCUUGAACAUUGUCUGCGCGGGGAGGAGGAGUUUGCUGAUUGGUCUUGGCACAGUGGUGGCAUCUGGAGGAGCCCAACGGAGAGAUGGCGCCUGGCAUUUGCAGGGCAGCUGGCCUGGAUGCUGUGUCCCGAACUGUGGCUUUGGGCUGUCACUUCACCUUGCCUGUCUUGUGACACCUGCACUGCUGGGUUACUCUGACCACCAUGUGGGGUCACGAAGGAAAAGCGCUCGAACAUCACCCUGAGCUCACCGCCUCCUCCUUGGCAGACCUUCCCCCUGAACCCUGGUGUGGGCACAGUGGAGAGAGCAGGGUCAAGCAGGUCUGUGAUCACGUGAAAAUGAAGAUUCCUUGGAGAAAAAGUUAUCUGUUUUCUGGCUGUGAGUUUACAAGAUGCUGAAGCCUCUCAUAAUUCAGCCUGAGUUUCAGUGAGUUGUCGCUCCCUGAGCACAGUGUGGACAAAUGUCUGGCCAUGGCAGUGGCCAGUGGCUUCUCCUUUGUCGGACCUCAGUUUUCCAGGCUCAAAAAUAAAGUAGCAGAACUCAGCGGAGCUGGGA